CUUGAGAUCACAGGUGCUUAUACAAUAGGCCACUUGAGAUCACAGGUGCUUAUACAAUAGGCCACUUGAGAUCACAGGUGCUUAUACAAUAGGCCACUUGAGAUCACAGGUGCUUAUACAAUAGGCCACUUGAGAUCACAGGUGCUUAUACAAUAGGCCACUUGAGAUCACAGGUGCUUAUACAAUAGGCCACUUGAGAUCACAGGUGCUUAUACAAUAGGCCACUUGAGAUCACAGGUGCUUAUACAAUAGGCCACUUGAGAUCACAGGUGCUUAUACAAUAGGCCACUUGAGAUCACAGGUGCUUAUACAAUAGGCCACUUGAGAUCACAGGUGCUUAUACAAUAGGCCACUUGAGAUCAAUAUGACAACUCGUGCCAGAUCCUAUAUUUAUACAAUAGGC